rnacentral:rRNA from 1 species
AACGAUGAAGCCAGCUUGCUGGUGGAUUAGUGGCGAACGGGUGAGUAACACGUGGGUGAUCUGCCCCAAACUUUGGGAUAAGCCUGGGAAACUGGGUCUAAUACCGAAUAUUACCUUCUCCUGCAUGGGGGUUGGUGGAAAGCUCCGGCGGUUUGGGAUGGGCCCGCGGCCUAUCAGCUUGUUGGUGGGGUAAUGGCCUACCAAGGCGACGACGGGUAGCCGGCCUGAGAGGGCGACCGGCCACACUGGGACUGAGACACGGCCCAGACUCCUACGGGAGGCAGCAGUGGGGAAUAUUGCACAAUGGGCGCAAGCCUGAUGCAGCGACGCCGCGUGAGGGAUGACGGCCUUCGGGUUGUAAACCUCUUUCACCAGGGACGAAGCGUGAGUGACGGUACCUGGAGAAGAAGCACCGGCCAACUACGUGCCAGCAGCCGCGGUAAUACGUAGGGUGCGAGCGUUGUCCGGAAUUACUGGGCGUAAAGAGUUCGUAGGCGGUUUGUCGCGUCGUUCGUGAAAACUUGGGGCUUAACUCCAAGCGUGCGGGCGAUACGGGCAGACUUGAGUACUACAGGGGAGACUGGAAUUCCUGGUGUAGCGGUGAAAUGCGCAGAUAUCAGGAGGAACACCGGUGGCGAAGGCGGGUCUCUGGGUAGUAACUGACGCUGAGGAACGAAAGCGUGGGUAGCGAACAGGAUUAGAUACCCUGGUAGUCCACGCUGUAAACGGUGGGUACUAGGUGUGGGUUC